UACAGAGGUCCCAAGCGUUGUUCGGAUUCAUUGGGCGUAAAGGGUGCGUAGGCGGCGCGGGAAGUCGGGUGUGAAAUCUCGGAGCUUAACUCCGAAACUGCAUUCGAUACUGCCGUGCUUGAGGACUGGAGAGGAGACUGGAAUUUACGGUGUAGCGGUGAAAUGCGUAGAUAUCGUAAGGAAGACCAGUGGCGAAAGCGGCUUCCUGGUCCAGCACCGACGUUCAGGCACGAAAGCGUGGGGAGCAAACAGG
rnacentral:rRNA from 1 species